GUCAUAUGUCAAUACAAUAUGUGAAUCAACGAGAGUCACUAUAUAUCUUGAUCAUUUUCCGAUUUGUUCGGAGACAAAUGGUGUCUCCAAAACUUCCAAAGAAAGUACAUGUGCAGACAACGUGACACUUUAGACUGCGGAAAAUUUCACAAUCCGUUAUCAAACUAUGUCACAGAAGUGGUAAGGGACUUGUGUGACAACUGAAUGGUAUCUUUUUGUAAUGUUUUUGACCAGGGGUGGGUAUUUCUUUUUUAAUUGAUAUUUGUUGGGUAAUCAAAUAGUUUACUUUUUAAUGGUUGGGUCAGCAAAAUUUUUAGCACUAAAACAUUUCUCUUCGGUGCCACCCCCCCACCAUAAAUAAUGACCGCUCCCUUAUACUGAGUACAGAAAUUUCUGCUAUUAAAAAUAAUAUACUUCACUACAAACAUUAGAUCAUUAAUACAGACCCGUGAUUUAUAGUUCACUGGGACAUUGGCUCUCGCCGGCGUCGCCGCUACAAUAGAGACCUUACGAUUUUAGAACGGCAACCGCGACGGCGACGGCCAAAACAAACUCCUUCAAAUAAAUGGUAGUCGAUAGUUCGUCGUAUAUUAUCAAUCGUGUGAAUUUAAUACAGUCUUAGAAGUUGAAGACAUGGGUUUUAUGAUUGCGAAGAGUUCCUGCUAAACCCAGUUUGAAGUUGCACUUGUUGUGGCUUGAAAUGCAGCCGCUGUAUCA